ACGCUGGCGGCACGCCUAACACAUGCAAGUCGAACGAAGUAGCAAUACUUAGUGGCAGACGGGUGAGUAACAUGUGGGUAUCUGCCCUUUGGCCUGGAAUAACACGAGGAAACUUGUGCUAAUACCGGAUAAGUCUUUACGGAGAAAGCUUUAUGCACCAUUGGAUGAGCCCGCACUUGAUUAGUUUGUUGGUAGGGUAAUGGCCUACCAAGACUGUGAUCAAUAGCUGAUUUGAGAGGAUGAUCAGCCACAUUGGGACUGAGACACGGCCCAAACUCCUACGGGAGGCAGCAGUGGGGAAUCUUGCACAAUGGAGGAAACUCUGAUGCAGCGAUGCCGCGUGAGUGAAGAAGGCCUUUGGGUUGUAAAGCUCUUUCGUCGGGGAAGAAAAUGACUGUACCCGAAUAAGAAGGUCCGG
rnacentral:rRNA from 1 species